CUGCAUAGUUUGCGCUGCUAUGCAAAAUAACUCCUUCAUCACUCACCUCAAGGUCAGAUCUGACAGCCGCGCUCCAACUUCCUUGAAUUGAGUCUGAAGUGAGAAGUGUGCUCUUGAUGUUGUCUUUUGGUGACAAAAGCAGGCUGUUAGCAUUAUUCAUCCUGUUGGAAGACAAUUUCAGAUAUGACAGAAGACGUUUGUGUGCCUGGAAAUGUACAUUAAAUGGUGUCAACGACAUCCUCUGAGGUCGCGGCAGAGUCCCCCUGCGGAGAGUGCGAGCUGGCGAGAAUCUACACUGAGGCGUGAUGGCUCUGUGGCAGCUUUGACACAGACUGUAAUCUGUGCUGGACUUUGGCUCUGAUUACACACGUCUCAGGGAGGAAAACAAGGACUGAAGAGGACUCAAGUCUGCCUCGAAGAGACGUCACAAGUCUCCACCGUGUUGUUUCCAUCACAAUGCAGUCUAAAGGGAAGCAAGGAGGAGGAGAAGGAGCCUUCUGGCAUUUUCCGGCGCUGACUAUGGACGGAUCUCCUCACAUGUGCGCACCGAGACACUGGAGACGAGACAGAUAUUCAAAGAGAUCAUUCUAUGGAAUACCAGCUGAAAAGAUCGAUGGAUUUCGCCAGUUAAACGUGAUGGAUGGUGCCCAAACAAAUACACAUGACUGUGUAGCGAUCACUUCAUUUCAGGUGGCCUAAGUCCAGUUUCUAAAGGGAUGGGAAGCGGUGGUUGUUUUACCAUCGUGGAUGCAGAGGUCCCUCGCUUGGGG